GGGAGUGAAAUAGAACCUGAAACCCUGCACUUACAAGCUGUGGAAGCACAUUUCUUGUGUGACCGCGUACUUUUUGUAGAACGGGCCAACGAGUUACGUUAAGUAGCAAGGUUAAGCACUUAAGGUGUGGAGCCGUAGCGAAAGCGAGUUUUAACUGAGCGUUCAGUUACUUGACGUAGACCCGAACCCGGGCGACCUACCCAUGAGCAGGAUGAAGCGAAAGUAAAAUUUCGUGGAGGUCCGAACCCACGAGCGUUGAAAAGCUCGGGGAUGACUUGUGGGUAGCGGUGAAAUUCCAAUCGAGCCCGGAGAUAGCUGGUUCUCCCCGAAAUAGCUUUAGGGCUAGCCUCAAGGUGAGAGAUACGGAGGUAGAGCACUGAAUGUCCUAGGGGGUAUUGCACCU
rnacentral:rRNA from 1 species